rnacentral:rRNA from 1 species
GUACACGCUGUGACUAGCAUAUCAAUAAGCGGAGGAAAAGAAACUAACAAGGAUUCCCCUAGUAACGGCGAGUGAAGCGGGAAGAGCUCAAAUUUGAAAUCUUAAAGGGUUUCCCUUUACGAAUUGUAGUUUAAAGAAGUGUUUUCUGUUGAGGUUUUGGUAAAAGUUCUUUGGAAUAGGGACAUCAUAGAGGGUGAGAAUCCCGUAUUUGACCUUUACUUUCAACUUUGUGAUACACUUUCAAAGAGUCGGAUUGUUUGGGAAUGCAGUCCAAAAUGGGUGGUAAAUUUCAUCUAAAGCUAAAUAUUGGCGAGAGACCGAUAGCGAACAAGUACCGUGAGGGAAAGAUGAAAAGAACUUUGAAAAGAGAGUUAAACAGUACGUGAAAUUGUCAAAAGGGAAGCGUUUGACACCAGUGUUGUUUUUCUGAAAAUCAAUUAAAGAACUGUUUAUGCUAAGUUGUUUAGACUUUAUCAGCUAACUGUUUAGUUUUGAGCUUUUCUUUAAUGCACUUUUCAGUUAACAAGUCAACAUCAAUUUCUUUUGCUGUAAAAAAGCUUGAGGAAGGUGGCUUGAGAUUCGUCUUAAGUGUUUAUAGCCUCUUGCCUAUGCAGUCGGAGAGAUUGAGGUCUGCAGCGUAGAUCCUUCGGGGCUAAAUGCAUUUGUGCUAAGUUAUAGCAUUUUAUAGACAACUUGUUGACUAUGAUUUGUCUUGUAGCUUACUCGCUUAUGUUAUUUUACCUACGCUUAGGAUGUUGAGUCGUAGAGCACGCAG